rnacentral:rRNA from 1 species
AUACGUAGGCAGCAAGCGUUGUUCGGAAUUACUGGGCGUAAAGAGUAUGUAGGUGGUGUCGUAAGUUCGGUGUGAAAUCUCCCGGCUUAACUGGGAGGGUGCGCCGAAGACUGCGAUGCUGGAGUAUGGGAGAGGGAAUCGGAAUUCCUGGUGUAGCGGUGAAAUGCGUAGAUAUCAGGAGGAACACCUGUGGUGUAGACGGGUUCCUGGACCAUUACUGACACUGAGAUACGAAAGCGUGGGUAGC